CCCUACGGGACGCAGCAGUGGGGGAUAUUGCACAAUGGGGGGAACCCUGAUGCAGCGACGCCGCGUGGGUGAAGAAGCGCCUCGGCGCGUAAAGCCCUGUCAGCAGGGAAGAAAAUGACGGUACCUGAAGAAGAAGCCCCGGCUAACUACGUGCCAGCAGCCGCGGUAAUACGUAGGGGGCAAGCGUUAUCCGGAUUUACUGGGUGUAAAGGGGGCGCAGACGGCGAUGCAAGCCAGGAGUGAAAGCCCGGGGCCCAACCCCGGGACUGCUCUUGGAACUGUAGAGCUUGAGUGUCGGAGAGGGG
rnacentral:rRNA from 1 species